UUCCAGACUCCUACGGGAGGCAGUAGUGGGGAAUAUUGCACAAUGGGGGAAACCCUGAUGCAGCGACGCCGCGUGAGUGAAGAAGUAAUUCGUUACGUAAAGCUCUAUCAGCAGGGAAGAGAGUGACGGUACCUGAGUAAGAAGCCCCGGCUAACUACGUACCAGCAGCCGCGGUAAUACGUAGGGGGCAAGCGUUAUCCGGAUUUACUGGGUGUAAAGGGAGCGUAGACGGCGAAGAAAGUCUGGAGUGAAAGCCCGCGGCUUAACCGCGGAACUGCUUUGGAAACUUUUUGGCUGGAGUACCGGAGAGGUAAGCGGAAUUCCUAGUGUAGCGGUGAAAUGCGUAGAUAUUAGGAGGAACACCAGUGGCGAAGGCGGCUUACUGGACGGUAACUGACGUUGAGGCUCGAAAGCGUGGGGAGCAAACAGGAUUAGAUACCCUAGUA
rnacentral:rRNA from 1 species